CGAACGCUGGCGGCGUGCUUAACACAUGCAAGUCGAACGGAAAGGCCCCUUUGGGGGUACUCGAGUGGCGAACGGGUGAGUAACACGUGAGUAACCUGCCCUUGACUUCGGGAUAACUUCAGGAAACUGGGGCUAAUACCGGAUAGGAAUCCUUGCUGCAUGGUGGGGGUUGGAAAGCUUCGGCGGUUUUGGAUGGACUCGCGGCUUAUCAGCUUGUUGGUGGGGUAGUGGCUUACCAAGGCUUUGACGGGUAGCCGGCCUGAGAGGGCGACCGGCCACAUUGGGACUGAGAUACGGCCCAGACUCCUACGGGAGGCAGCAGGGGGGAAUAUUGCACAAUGGGCGGAAGCCUGAUGCAGCAACGCCGCGUGCGGGAUGACGGCCUUCGGGUUGUAAACCGCUUUCAGCAGGGGCGAAGCUUGUGGUGACGGUACCUGCAGAAGAAGCACCGGCUAACUACGUG
rnacentral:rRNA from 1 species